CGGGGCCCAUUCUCCACCGGUCCUGCACCACUGAGACAGACCCCCGAAUCUCCAAGAGCAAGCACCAUUACAGCAUUUGAUGAGACAGUGGCAUCCGACGACUGUGAGUGACGUGCUGAACCCGUCUCGCUCCAGAACACCAGUGCAUUAUUCAAAAUUCUAUGUCAUGUUCUAGAAUGCACAGUCAGCUCCUAUGGAGUGCUCGCUUUGCUGUCACUCAUUAUGAACUGAGAAUUAACCUAGAACACAACCAAUGCUCUGCAUAUGGCUGGGGAAGAUCAAUAAUGUGAUCAAUACAUUUCUUUGGAACUUCUUAUAGGCUAUCAGACUGUAUUGGCUUCAUGAGCGCAAGUAAAGGUUAUGGAGUUUAGUCACAGCAAUCAGACAGCUGUAAAUCAACCAUCUUUGAAAAGCAGUUUGUGAUGUAUUAUAUAGAGGAUAUCAAGAGUUCAGCAUGAAUGGGAAGCUGCUGAGGGCCCAGUACGGAUCAACAAGAUCACCUCUGCAGUGGCACAAGGACAUCCCUGAAGCCCAUCCAGGGAGGGCAAUUUGCCAAGAGACCCUCAGAUAAGGAGCCAGCCCUAGUUAUAGUGAUCAUAUGGAUGGCAAAGUGACACAAAGCUCGAGAACAAAACAUAAGAAGGAACCCUGGUUAUCUAAAAUAAAGACAUAACAUUCACAUACUGACACCCACGUAGUUAAUUAGUUCGUAACCUAAUCAAUAUAU